AUGGAGACUCUUCCUUGUAUAAAUAAAGGUGAUCCUCGUCUAAAGCUGAAAGUGGAGAAUAGAAUGAAAAACAUUUUUGUAACGCAAUUUGAGGAAACUAGACAAGAAGAUGAAAAUGUCAAUCACAUACCUGUUAUAACAGAGACCGCUAGCAGAGUCCUGGAGACAGGAGUGAACACAUUACAGAGAACCCUUGUCCUGAAGAAGCAGGUGGAGGUGGAUGAAGUGGAUAGGCAGCUGGCACAGAAACGACAGGAAUUCAAAGGCCGCAUGCAGGCCCUUGCACAGAGGAAGGCAGAGCUAGAGCUGAAACAACAGGCGACUAAAGACAGAGCAAAGAAAUUUGAGAAGUUUGUUGAGGACAAUGAGGUAAAGCGCCGUCGGGCCCUGAAGAAGUACCAGGCAGCGAGGAAGCAGAACGAUCUGAAGCAGAACGAGAAAGAGGAGUUCACUGAACAGCUGGAAAAACUGCAGGCCAGGCAGCAGUAUUUAAAGGACAGGGUGACCAAGUAUAAAAUGUACGAAGACUACAUGAUGAAAAUGUUAGAUUUUCUCCCGGAGAAUUACCUGGAGUAUGGGGCAGACUCCCUGGUGAUGCCCAUCAUCCGGCGCCAUGAGACCCUUUCGCUCACGCAUCAGGACCUGGUGGAGCGCCUGGGCCAGCUGGUGGAAGAGCUGGAGCAGGGCCAGCGCAGCCUGGACAGCCUGAAGCAGGAGCACAACACCAACAAGCUGAUGAUGAACAGGGAGCUGUCUGAACUGCAGACCCAAUGGGACAGAGCCAAGGAGAAGAACAACCAGACUGAGAUGAAACUGAUGAUGCACCAAGGCCAGUCCAGAGACCAGGUUGAGGAAGUGGGUUGCCUGCUGAUAGCUGUGAAGAACCUUGCAGAGCAGUGCUACUUACAACACUAUGGGCCUCUGGAAGAGAUAGACAUGCUGACAAUGAUGGAUAUGGUAAAGGAAUACAUUCUGGAGAGGUCAGACAUUGAGAUGAGAGCAACACGACUGAUAGACUCAGGCACCACAUUGACGAGUGCCACAGAGCACAGAGGAUCACUGAAAAACAUUAACAGUAAAACACAACUGAAGAGCCCCAGCAAGACCAGUGGGAGGAGUGGACUGUCUAGUUAAUCAAUGCCGAACAGACCUUUCACGAGUUUGUGGAGAAACACACAAAUACAACCAU
rnacentral:lncRNA from 8 species